AGAGUUUGAUCCUGGCUCAGGAUGAACGCUGGCGGCAUGCCUAAUACAUGCAAGUCGAGCGAGGAUCCUUGUGGAUCCUAGUGGCGAACGGGUGAGUAACACGUAGGGAACCUGCCCGCGCACCGGGAAUACGCUCUGGAAACGGAGAACAAAUCCCGAUGUACAGGAAGGAGGCAUCUUCUUUCUGUGAAACAUCCUGUAAGGGAUGGGGCGCGGAUGGACCUGCGGUGCAUUAGUUGGUUGGCGAGGGUAAAGGCCCACCAAGACGAUGAUGCAUAGCCGGCCUGAGAGGGCGGACGGCCACAUUGGGACUGAGACACGGCCCAGACUCCUGCGGGAGGCAGCAGUAGGGAAUUUUCGUCAAUGGGCGCAAGCCUGAACGAGCGAUGCCGCGUGAGUGAAGAAGGCCUUCGGGUCGUAAAGCUCUGUUGCGGGGGAAAAAAGGCAUCUGCAGGAAAUGGUAGAUGACAGAUGGUGCCCCGCCAGAAAGUCACGGCUAACUACGUGCCAGCAGCCGCGGUAAUACGUAGGUGGCGAGCGUUAUCCGGAAUGAUUGGGCGUAAAGGGUGCGCAGGCGGUCCUGCAAGUCUGGAGUGAAACGUAUGAGCUCAACUCAUGCAUGGCUCUGGAA
rnacentral:rRNA from 1 species